rnacentral:rRNA from 1 species
AUAGCGUAUAUUAAAGUUGUUGCAGUUAAAAAGCUCGUAGUUGAACCUUGGGCCUGGCUGACCGGUCCGCCUCACCGCGUGCACUGGCUCGGCCGGGCCUUUCCUUCUGUGGAUCCGCAUGCCCUUCACUGGGUGUGUUGGGGAAACAGGACUUUUACUUUGAAAAAAUUAGAGUGUUCAAAGCAGGCCUUUGCUCGAAUACAUUAGCAUGGAAUAAUAGAAUAGGACGGCCUUCCUAUUUUGUUGGUUUCUAGGAGUGCCGUAAUGAUUAAUAGGGAUAGUUGGGGGCAUCUGUAUUCAAUUGUCAGAGGUGAAAUUCUUGGAUUUAUUGAAGACAAACUACUG